CCCUUAGAUGUUCUGGGAUGCACGCGCGUUGCACUGAUUCGUUCAACGAGUUUAUGACCUUGCCUGAUGAGGUGGGGGAAUCUUUUCAAAUCGCAUCGUGAUGGGGAUAGAGUAUUGUAACUGUUAGUCUUCAACGAGGAAUUCCUAGUAAGUACGUGUCAUCAGCUCGUACUGAUUAUGUCCCUGCCCUUUGUACACACCGCCCGUCGCUCCUACCGAUUGAGUGCUCAGGUGAAUAGUAUGGACUGCAUCAGUGUUCGGUCUCCGAAUGUUGACGCGAGAAAUUCUGUGAAUCUUAUUGCUUAGAGGAAGGAGAAGUCGUAACA
rnacentral:rRNA from 1 species